rnacentral:ribozyme from 1 species
GCUCCUCAGGGGGAGAAUAAACCGCAUUAAGCCCUGAGCGUUCCUGCUUAUGCAGGAGGUUGUU